CCAAUAUUAAAUACGUUCUCACUUCAUGUUUUGCUCAGGUGACUCACCCUGGUGCUGCACUUUUCAGGCGCGACAGAGGUCGCUGUGUCUCUUCCGGGUGCCAGAUGAGGAAACCAAGGAACCAUAGAGUGUGUAACCUAAGGCUUCCAGGUCAAGAUAGAAAGGGAAGUGUCUGCCUCCAGUGCCACGCCAUGGCUCCAUACCAUCCCACCUCUCCAGCAUACCCAGGGAUCGAACUUGGGACCUUCCACUUGCAAGGCAGGCGGUGGAACCACUGAGCUAAAUCCCUGGCCCUUAGAGAAGAUUCUAGAAAAG
ensembl:lncRNA